CUGGUGCUUGAGUUUGAAUUAAGAUUAACAUUUUCAGUAAUAUUUGUAAAAUAAUUAUUGAAAGUAUCAGCAAUGCUUUUAGGGUCUGUAAUUGGUUUAUUACUACAGUCAUUUAAGAUUGCAUGGUCAUGAUGAUUUUCACUACCAUUUACAUUAUGCAAGUGUUUCCAUUAUUUGCUGCUAUUUCCUUUUUCUUGUUCUAAUACUUC
rnacentral:lncRNA from 1 species